CAAGUCAUCCAAACUGAAAUCUGAUGAAAGCCAGCACUUAAAUCUGGUAAUGUUUCAAUCAUUGCGGUUUGACUUACUUAAAGGGUCAUUGCGUUUUGACAAAAAUGACUUUCAGUCAUAUUUUGAGGCUUUUGUGCAUUUUUAAGUGCUUACAGGUGUGGGAAAGCAGUAACGUAGAAUUAGUCUAUAUCCUUGACAGCACGUUUUCCU